rnacentral:rRNA from 1 species
UGGAAUCGCUAGUAACCGUAAAUCAGCUCGUUACGGUGAAUACGUUCUCGGGCUUUGUACUCACCGCCCGUCAACUCAGAAGAGUUGAUAGUACCCGAAGACCCUGCUUUAGCAGGGGCCACGGUAAGAUCAAUGAUUAGGAGUAAGUCGUAA